UACAGAGGUCUCAAGCGUUGUUCGGAUUCAUUGGGCGUAAAGGGUGCGUAGGCGGCGCGGUAAGUCGGGUGUGAAAUCUCGGGGCUUAACUCCGAAACUGCAUUCGAUACUGCCGUGCUUGAGGACUGGAGAGGAGACUGGAAUUCACGGUGUAGCAGUGAAAUGCGUAGAUAUCGUGAGGAAGACCAGUGGCGAAGGCGAAUCUCUGGACAGUUACUGACGCUGAGGCACGAAGGCCAGGGGAGCAAACGGG
rnacentral:rRNA from 1 species